UCAUUGUUAAUGGCGAAUUGGAGACAAUUGCAUGUUUCUUGAAGUGGUCUCGAAAUUCGGAUUUGCAGGUUUGGUUCUGCAUUCUAUAGCCGUCGAGGACUCGAUAGAAGGGCAAGACCAUGGUGAAAUGCUUUAACCAAUGUUGGGUUGUUUGUCACAAGGGAUAGUGGAGCCAGUAGAAAAGUUGAAAGGGAGGUCAAGGAGCCAAAGUCCCAUGCCAAGGUUGUAAUGGAAAUUUACGGCGAAAAUAGUCAACAUGAUGAAGUCAGAGGAACUGUUUGAGCCUCAAGGAGGUCCAAUUAUCUUGUCAGAGAACGAGUACGGGCCCGUUGAAUGGGAUAUCAGUGCCCCUGGAAAAGCUUACACUAAUGGGCAGCCCAAAUGGCUAACGGUCUAAAAGCCGGUGUCCCUUGGAUCAUGUGCAAACAAGAAGAUGCCCCUGAUCCAAUGGGGAGCGUUUUCUUAUUGCUUUCUUCGUUUUCACAUGCAUACGUUGAAAAACCUAUUGUGGGUAAUGUCGUGUGUAGAAAAGCAAAGUAAUUUUGUAUAUAUCCUCCUAAAAGUUCAAAAUAUUCGUCCAGUUAUGCUAUUCCAAGCCAAAUUUCAAAUUUGUACCAUUUUCUCCCUGACAUUCUUGAAACACGUCAUUUCCGUCCAAAAAAUGAGUUAAUUGCCAUUUUCGUGCCCGUGGUUUGUCGAAUUAUUCGAUUCAACAUUAGGUUUUUGGAUGGAAUUGAUAUGUUUCAAGAAUGUUAGGCAUAAUUGGAUAAACCACAAGGAUGAAAAUGACAGUUAACUCAAUUUUUUAUAUAAAUAAGAAUGAAAAAUUGUUAUAGUCAUGCAUACCGGGUCGAAUUCAAGCAUAUAUAAUGUCAUUAUUCAAGCAUGUUUUUUUGCUAUGCGCAUUGGGUACCACAAACUUUGCACAUGAUACAACCCAUGAAGCUUGUUACUCUUUUAUUUGGUUGUACAUACGUCUUAGACCUCUCUUUAUCUCUCUAACAUGUUGAUCACAUGACAGAUCGAUACAUGUAAUGGUUUUUACUGUGAAACAUUCACUCGAAACAAGCCAUACAAACCUAAAAUGUUUACAGAGCUUUGGACUGGCUGUUGCGGAGGCAAUCCAGGAAACUUUUGAGGUGCAAAUUACAAUACAGGUGAAAGAAGCAGCAAUGGGGAGAGUGAUGCGUUCAUCCAAGGCAUGGACUCUGUAGAAUCAUAAAUCUGUGAAUAAUAUAAAAGAUCCACAACUAUCGGCAUUACAAGGAAAUAAUCGACGAUGUCAAACUAACAGUGCCACCGGAACAACUUUAUGCGACUCAACUGUCACAGCUUCAAGAAAUAGGCUUCUUUGAUACCCAAGAAAACAUCAGGGCGUUGCGUGCAACUGCAGGUAAUGUUCAUGCUGCUGUUGAGAGGCUUUUGGGAAACUUUGGCCCGUGACGACGCGGAGUUGUUUUCUUCUAUUUAAAGACAGCUCUAAUAUGAGUCCGUUUUUUACAGUAUUCUUUUUUAGACAUAGGGAGGCAUGUGGAUUUUCGUUUGAGCCCGUGUGUGUGUACACAACUUAUUUUGUAUAUUUUUUCUUAUUGAAUUAUGUUCUCGACCCGUAUUGUCGAGUCCGCUGCAACGCGCGGGUUCCCUACUAGUUUGAAAUAUAAUGAAGUUUUAUUUCUUUCA